AAAGCGCCUGUAGGUUGUUUAAUAAGUCUGUUGUUAAAGACUAGGGCUCAACCCUAGGAAAGCAAUGGAAACUACUAGACUAGAGUAUGGCAGGGGUAGAGGGAAUUUCUAGUGUAGCGGUGAAAUGCGUAGAUAUUAGAAAGAACACCGGUGGCGAAAGCGCUCUACUGGACCAUUACUGACACUCAGAGGCGAAAGCUAGGGUAGCAAAAGGGAUUAGAUACCCCUGUAGUCCUAGCCGUAAACGAUGGAUACUAGAUGUUGUGUAUUAUGUACAGUAUCGUAGCUAACGCGUUAAGUAUCCCGCCUGGGGAGUACGCUCGCAAGGGUGAAACUCAAAGGAAUUGACGGGGGCCCGCACAAGCGGUGGAGCAUGUGGUUUAAUUCGAUGCAACGCGAAGAACCUUACCAGGACUUGACAUACUACAGAUCCUUUUGAGAAAAARGAGUGCCUUCGGGAAUGUAGAUACAGGUGGUGCAUGGCUGUCGUCAGCUCGUGUCGUGAGAUGUUGGGUUAAGUCCCGCAACGAGCGCAACCCUUAUUUUUAGUUACUAAUUCGUUAGGUUCUCUAGAAAGACUGCCGGUGACAAACCGGAGGAAGGUGAGGAUGACGUCAAGUCAGCAUGCCCCUUAUGUCCUGGGCUACACACGUGCUACAAUGGUUAAGACAAAGAGUCGCGAGCUCGCAAGAGUCAGCUA
rnacentral:rRNA from 1 species